UGCACUGCUUAAACACUGCAUAUCAUUCCCAGAGCACGUGGGUGAGGAGAGAAAGCAAAUACUGCAUUUAAACAGUGCAGGAGAAGUUCCUAGGCUCAUCACCAAUUGCAUCAUCACAGAAGACAAUGACAUCCAUGGACUGUACACCAGAGCACAAAGUUGAAAAGGAGCUAAGAUGAAAGCCAGCUUGCAACAGAAGUGGAUCUCAGCCGGCCCCAGAAGAGGGAAAGUCCAAAGGACCAAUCCAGGUGCCACCAAAGGCUAAUCUGAUCUGUUGGUUUUGGCUACCAUACCACGUUUUGUUAGUUGAUGAACUGAGAGCUGUCCUGUUUCUCAUGCAGCAGCUCCAUCUGUUGUCCAAAAGGAAAGGUGGAUUUUGCAUUGGGGCUACAUUUACAGAAUAAAAAAGGAAAUGGAAUUGAAUAAUUUGAAGUAUCCCUGGAAAAUUCCUGAACGCUUUUCCAGUCAGUCCUCCUGCAUAAAUGGAACCAACAGCCAGCCUUUACCUACCUGUGUAAACCAACUAACCAAUAUGAAAAUGUAAAAGGAAAUAACAAUCAUAUGAGUGUCAGGAUUCUUCACUCAUACAUCUUCAGAACUAGUCUUCUCACAGUAAACUCUGACUUUUCACUAUCUGCAGUCAUUUAGUGCUGUGCUGUCCAAAGGUAUCAUGUUACCAAAUCACAUUGGUGAGGUACUGACUCACUUCACCCCACAAUAAACAUGCCCAGGUAUUCACAAACUACAAGAUGUUUAUGGCGAUUCUUAGUUACUUACAAGUGGUAUAUUUGAGUUGCACAAACAUAACUUUAAGCUUAUUAUUCUGAAGAUCAACUCAAUUCUUAAACCCAAAAGUUCUGUUUCUUUUAUGCAGUGCAGGGCCUGAGCUACAAUCUCAGGACUCAAUUUAGACUUUCCACACCUUGCAUUCCUUUACCAGGAGAGUUCUGUCCGUAACAGAACAGUUGUGGCAAGACCAUAUAGACCCAGAGUUUGUAAAUUCAGUCAGACCUACUCUGAAUCUUAACUUAGUGAUUCUUGGUCUGUGUUUACAACUGCUCUGGCUCCACAAGACUUUGUUAGCUUGUGGGGUGUACCUCCAAUAUGGUAUUUGCUGUAAGUACUGAACCCUUCCAGUAACCCCCCAGUUUCCAGGCAGCAUUGCAAGAGCUAUUUAAUAAUCAGCCAGCUCAUGAGCUGUGGCUCACUGCUGGCCACAGGUGCUCGAGCUGACUU